rnacentral:rRNA from 1 species
UACGUAGGGUGCGAGCGUUAAUCGGAAUUACUGGGCGUAAAGCGUGCGCAGGCGGUUUUGUAAGCCAGAUGUGAAAUCCCCGGGCUUAACCUGGGAAUGGCAUUUGGGACUGCAAGGCUCGAGUGCGGCAGAGGAGACUGGAAUUCCUGGUGUAGCAGUGAAAUGCGUAGAUAUCAGGAGGAACACCGGUGGCGAAGGCGGGUCUCUGGGCCAUUACUGACGCUGAGGAGCGAAAGCGUGGGGAGCGAACAGG